AACGCUGGCGGCGUGCCUAAAACAUGCAAGUCGAGCGGCAUCNUGUCCUUCGGGAUGAUGGCGAGCGGCGGACGGGUGAGUAACGCGUAGGAAUCUGCCCCAAAGUGAGGGAUAACUCCGGGAAACCGAAGCUAAUACCGCAUAUGGUCUUCGGAUUAAAGCCUUCGGGCGCUUCGGGAGGAGCCUGCGUACGAUUAGCUAGUUGGUGAGGUAAAGGCUCACCAAGGCGACGAUCGUUAACUGGUCUGAGAGGAUGAUCAGUCACACUGGAACUGAGACACGGUCCAGACUCCUACGGGAGGCAGCAGUUAGGAAUCUUCCACAAUGGGCGAAAGCCUGAUGGAGCAACGCCGCGUGCAGGAUGAAGGCCUUCGGGUCGUAAACUGCUUUUAUGUGCGAGGAAUAUGACGGUAACACAUGAAUAAGGAUCGGCUAACUCCGUGCCAGCAGCCGCGGUCAUACGGAGGAUCCGAGCGUUAUCCGGAGUGACUGGGCGUAAAGAGUUGCGUAGGGGGUAGUUUAAGCAGGUAGUGAAAUCGUGUGGCUCAACCAUACGGCUAUUAUCUGAACUGAACCACUUGAGAACAUAAGGGGUAGAUGGAAUUCCCAGUGUAGGAGUGAAAUCCGUAGAUAUUGGGAGGAACACCGAUAGCGUAGGCAGUCUACUGGUAUGUUUCUGACCCUGAGGCACGAAAGCGUGGGGAGCGAACCUGAUUAGAUACCCGGGUAGUCCACGCCGUAAACGAUGGAUGCUAGCUGUAUGCCGUAUCGACCCGGUGUGUAGCGAAGCUAACGCGUUAAGCAUCCCGCCUGUGGAGUACGGUCGCAAGACUAAAACUUUAA
rnacentral:rRNA from 1 species